rnacentral:lncRNA from 1 species
CGCCCGCCGGAGCCGGCCCGGGCACGUGGGGGACGACCCCGGACCGCGCCGGAUCCCCCGCGCCUCGGCCUGGCCUGCUUCGGGGCGCAGAGAAGGGGAAUCCCGCUGCCCCGGGAUGCUUCCUGCAGUCCCCCACCCCAAAUAACCGCGAGAGAGAAAUCUUGUCACUGCAUUGAGCACAAGUAGAUCUUCCUUUGGUAUUAACCAGGAGUACCUCAGCUGCAGGACAACAUACAAGGACAGAAAUCAUUGACCUCCUCCUGGCAUCAGGACCAGAAAUACUAACUUAAG